AACGAACGCUGGCGGCAGGCCUAACACAUGCAAGUCGAACGCCCUAGCAAUAGGGAGUGGCAGACGGGUGAGUAACGCGUGGGAAUCUACCCUGUGGUACGGAACAACCAAGGGAAACUUUGGCUAAUACCGUAUGAGCCCUUCGGGGGAAAGAUUUAUCGCCAUAAGAUGAGCCCGCGUAGGAUUAGCUAGUUGGUGAGGUAAUGGCUCACCAAGGCGACGAUCCUUAGCUGGUCUGAGAGGAUGACCAGCCACACUGGGACUGAGACACGGCCCAGACUCCUACGGGAGGCAGCAGUGGGGAAUAUUGGACAAUGGGCGCAAGCCUGAUCCAGCCAUGCCGCGUGUGUGAUGAAGGCCUUAGGGUUGUAAAGCACUUUCACCGAUGAAGAUAAUGACUGUAGUCGGAGAAGAAGCCCCGGCUAACUUC
rnacentral:rRNA from 1 species